ACCAAGGAGUCUAGCAUGUGCGCGAGUCAUUGGGAUAUAACUAAACCUAAAGGCGAAAUGAAAGUGAAGGUCAGCCUCGCGCUGACCGAGGGAGGAUGGGCCGCCUUGCGGCGGCCCCGCACUCCCGGGGCGUCUCGUUCUCAUCGCGAGAGGAGGCGCACCCAGAGCGUACACGCUGGGACCCGAAAGAUGGUGAACUAUGCCUGGUCAGGACGAAGUCAGGGGAAACCCUGAUGGAGGUCCGUAGCGAUUCUGACGUGCAAAUCGAUCGUCGGAACUGGGUAUAGGGGCGAAAGACUAAUCGAACCAUCUAGUAGCUGGUUCCCUCCGAAGUUUCCCUCAGGAUAGCUGGCGCUCGCCGCGCGCGAGUCUCAUCCGGUAAAGCGAAUGAUUAGAGGCAUUGGGGUCGAAACGGCCUCAACCUAUUCUCAAACUUUAAAUGGGUGAGAUCUCCGGCUUGCUCGAACACGUGAAGCCGCGAGAUUUCGGAUCAGAGUGCCAAGUGGGCCACUUUUGGUAAGCAGAACUGGCGCUGUGGGAUGAACCAAACGCAGAGUUAAAGCGCCCAAAUCGACGCUUAUGGGAUACCAUGAAAGGCGUUGGUAACUUAAGACAGCAGG
rnacentral:rRNA from 1 species